AUGAUUACUGUGCUAAAAGAAAACCCUACUGUGAAACAGAUGAAUGAUGCAUUCUUCUUGUAUCUUGGUAAAACCUGGAGGUGUUCUGGUAAACUGAUUGAACCUGGAUUGUUUUUCUUGAGAUUUCCUAAUAUCAAAGGAGUGGAAAAAGCGUGCUACAACGACCGUAUGACAAUGAAACCGUGUGGAACAGUGGUGAGGGUUACUAGAUGGGAGCACGAUGAUGGGGAAAAAGGGGUGCCGGAGAAAGCAUGGGUAAAAGUUGGUAGAAUCCCAACUGACAAGAGAUGUGAAAGAAAUGUUGCCUUUGUAGCCUCUCUUGCUGCAGUGCCGCUGGAGAUUGAUAUGGCUACCCUACGUCGUCCUAAUUCUGUCAGAGUUAAAUUGGGUUGUCGUAAUGUUGACGAGAUCAUCCCAGUGGCUGAGUCAGUCCUGGGGGUUCGUUUUUAUGACUUCAUCUUUGAUGUGGAGCGGGUGCUCGUGAGAAAUUCUGAUAGAGAGAAUAUUCGCACUAAAACCUCUGCUGAACAGGGGGGACCUUCACCCAAAAAACAAAAAAGAGCAUGUAUCAAUGAGGAUCAGAUGGGCAGUUCUUCUGGGGGAGUGCAGGAUGUGGGUGAGAAGAAAACUGUGGGGAAACAGUGUGUGAACAAUUCUUUGGACUCGCCUGUCUCGAUGAACUCUGAUAGUUCAAACCAUGACACCCUCCUGAUUCACACGAUGGAGCAAGAGGCCUUGGCUGCCACUGAAAAAUCCAAUGAGAAUUCAAAAGCCCUUUCUCUAUCCUAUGAUAUGUGUAACCAGAUUGCUGCGUUUGAUGUUGGAAAUGGAAGUGUUAAAAAGACUUAUGCUGAGAGUGUGAAGGGCUCAAUCAAAGUUACUGAGUUGGAGGGCCCGUUUGGUGCUGUUGAUGACUACAGUUGA
rnacentral:rRNA from 1 species